rnacentral:rRNA from 1 species
AAACCAGCACCUCAAGUGGUCAGGAUGAUUAUUGGGCCUAAAGCAUCCGUAGCCUGCUCUGUAAGUUUUCGGUUAAAUCUGUAUGCUCAACAUACAGGCUGCCGAAAAUACUGUAGAACUAGGGAGUGGGAGAGGUAGACGGUACUCGGGAGGAAGGGGUAAAAUCCUUUGAUCUCUCGAUGACCACCUGUGGCGAAGGCGGUCUACCAGAACACGUCCGACGGUGAGGGAUGAAAGCUGGGGGAGCAAACCGGAUUAGAUACCCGAGUAGUCC